rnacentral:lncRNA from 1 species
UGCUUUAUUCUGCUUGAAGAUGCACAAACCUGAUGGGCAGUGGAACACUUGGUUGACAUAAUGUGGUAUAGCUGCACUGUGAAUCAUUCAGGUGGAUACUGAGAAAUCCCAGGAAUUCCCUGUGGGAAUGUGGCACUGAGAAAAUGAGAAGGCCCUCUUUGCUUCCCAGUCAAACUUGUGCCCAAAGUGAGGACAAAGUAGAUUGUUUAUCUAAAAUGCCUCCAACUGGCUGUGACUGAAAUGUACAAAGGUUGUUCUUGUUCCUGGUGGUGCCCAAAAAUGGGCCAGGUGUUUUGCAAACAGAAGAAAGUUACAAUUGAAGAUAUGGGAGAGGGAGGGAAGGGAUUCAAGACAGCAUGUAUUUAGUGGGUGCACAGUCUUCACAGAAAACUUCAGCCCUUUCUGAUAACUUUAUACACUAAAAGAAGCAUUUUUCUUUCAGAGUACUGAAAACCUUCCUGCUCCUCCUGCAGAAGAAACAGAAUAUACUGCAUUAAGCCAGCCGCUGUCCCAUUACCUGAAGGAGAUUAAUACCAAUGGGGCUAUUUCCCAUAUACAAGGAGAGACUGCAAGAUGAGAGGAGCAAAAGAAGUUGCAUGUCCAGAGAACCUGCAGGAGUCUCGAGCUUUAGAACUUCCUGCAAGUCUGGUUACACCAAAUGGAGAUUGAUGAGAAAACACAUUUUGAAAUUAUUAAAGCUCCUUCUUCAAGAAAAGUGCAUUCCUCUGGUGUUGGACAUUCUAGGACAUCAAGCUCCAGGAGGUGAAUGGUUAAUUACCCUGGUGAUGGGUGCUAUUUGGAGGCAUAAUACUGUUGUAAUAAGAAUGUACCAUGGUUCACCUUAA